GGGGCUGUAGCUCAGCUGGGAGAGCGCUGCAAGCGCACUGCAGAGGUCAGGGGUUCGAUCCCCCUCAGCUCCA
rnacentral:tRNA from 1 species